rnacentral:rRNA from 1 species
ACUCCUACGGGAGGCAGCAGUGGGGAAUCUUGGACAAUGGGGGCGAACCCUGAUCCAGCCAUGCCGCGUGAGUGAUGAAGGCCCUAGGGUCGUAAAGCUCUUUCGCCAGGGAUGAUAAUGACAGUACCUGGUAAAGAAACCCCGGCUAACUCCGUGCCAGCAGCCGCGGUAAUACGGAGGGGUUAGCGUUGUUCGGAAUUACUGGGGCGUAAAGCGCGCGUAGGCGGACCAGAAAGUUGGGGGUGAAAUCCCGGGGCUCAACCCCGGAACUGCCUCCAAAACUCCUGGUCUUGAGUUCGAGAGAGGUGAGUGGAAUUCCGAGUGUAGAGGUGAAAUUCGUAGAUAUUCGGAGGAACACCAGUGGCGAAGGCGGCUCACUGGCUCGAUACUGACGCUGAGGUGCGAAAGUGUGGGGAGCAAACAGGAUUAGAUACCCUGGUAGGAUAGCG